UCCUCUGUAGUUCAGUCGGUAGAACGGCGGACUGUUAAUCCGUAUGUCACUGGUUGAGUCCAGUCAGAGGAGCCA
rnacentral:tRNA from 1 species